UACAGAGGUCUCAAGCGUUGUUCGGAUUCAUUGGGCGUAAAGGGUGCGUAGGCGGCGCGGUAAGUCGGGUGUGAAAUCUCGGGGCUUAACUCCGAAACUGCAUUCGAUACUGCCGUGCUUGAGGACUGGAGAGGAGACUGGAAUUUACGGUGUAGCGGUGAAAUGCGUAGAUAUCGUAAGGAAGACCAGUGGCGAAGGCGGGUCUCUGGACAGUUCCUGACGCUGAGGCGCGAAAGCGUGGGGAGCAAACAGG
rnacentral:rRNA from 1 species